rnacentral:rRNA from 1 species
CGCGUAGGUGGUUUGAUAAGUUGGAUGUGAAAGCCCCGGGCUCAACCUGGGAAUUGCAUCCAAAACUGUCUGACUAGAGUAUGGCAGAGGGUGGUGGAAUUUCCUGUGUAGCGGUGAGAUGCGUAGAUAUAGGAAGGAACACCAGUGGCGAAGGCGACCACCUGGGCUAAUACUGACACUGAGGUGCGAAAGCGUGGGGAGCAAACA